CUCGAGAACCGAAAAUCGGGUCAUUUGACCAAGGCGGACCAGUGAGAGCUCGAGCAAUGCUUGGCGGGAGAGUUGUUCAUGUCGUGAUUGUGCGCACAUGUUUUUUCCGACAAUCAAACUCCCGAUGGCCACAAAAUCCCUUUUUUUUCUCACCCUUUAAACUGAACAUUUUAACGUUUAAACGUUCAUCACACAACAAAAACGACAUCAGGAGAGGGGGUUGCGUGCUGCGAGACACGAAAAUUGGGUCAUGUGACCAAGCCGGACCACUGAGAGCUCGAGCACUGCUGGGCGGGAGAAGUUCAUUCCUGGUCUAUCUAACGGCUCAGAUGGCGAUGCAGAAAAUGGCUGGACGAGGAGUGUCGUGGAGGGAGAGGGAGACACUGGAUCUCAUCGACUUCUGGGGAGAGGAGAAGGUCCAGGAGUCACUGUCAAUGUGCCACAGAAACAUAGACGUCUUCGAAAAGAUCGCGGAGCAGAUGGCGGCAAGAGGGCACAAGCGCACGGCUUUGGAAUGUCGGACGAAGACCAAAGCGAUGCGCCAAGAAUACAAACGAGUGGUGGCACACAACUCCAAAUCCGGAAAUGCACCCACAACGUGCCCAUAUUAUGCCCAGCUACAUCGUAUCUUCAGGGGCGAUGCCAGCAUCAGGCCACAACGGGUGGCCAGAAGCCUCUCCCUUCCGCGCGCCGACACUCCGAGACCAGUUCAAUUUGAGGGGUCCGAGGAACUGUUUAGCCACCCGAUGGUGACCCUGAAUCUACAAUCUGUGGAUGUCACAGCAAACGAUCAAGAUUUAUUCCGUGAAAAACAACUAAAGCAGAAGCAAGCCUGAAGUCACAGUAAUCAACAAGUUUGGACAUGCACCGGUGACAUUAGAUGUGUGGGAACCUGUUAUCCUGUGACAUCGUCAAGCCACUUGGGAGUUCACAUCACUGGACAAUACAUGUUAUUCUGACAAGAGUCUUCCAUUCAUACUCGCAUCACUAAUAUCCAAACUUUCCUAAAUAUAACUUACGCUUAUGUUUCUUUCAGGGGCUGCAUCUGACCAGGAACAAUUGAUGGAAGCAUGUGAUGGGGGAGAGGUGGGAGAAGAAGAUUCGGACUUGACUCAGGUGGAUGAAAUCCCGGAGGAGCAUGAGGACGGCGGUCGUCAAAAUGUGGUCGCUGAAAAUCAGCCCGUUGAAACCGCACCAAAAACCACGGCACAGAUGUCGCCUGCAUCUCGGCUAGAAAAGGCUAGAACCCGAAGCAGACGUGUGGCCUUGCUUAGCACCGUGGCAGAAAAGAUGUUGUCUCAGGCAGAGAGAGAGGAGAACAACAAUGCCAAGGAAAGAAAACAGACAUUGACGGAGAGCCGAGAGUGGCGCAUGCAAUUUCUGGAAGCGGAGCAGAGAAGGCAUGAGGACACAAUGAGGGAGGCACAAGAAGACAGAAAGGCUUUCAUUGAGGCGCAGCAGCAGAACUGUGAGGGCAUCAACAGAGCGGUCAGUGCCUUAAGCUCCCUAACCGAAAUUUUGCUGGGGGGAAACCGUGAGCAGAGUCACCAAGCCAUGCCAGGACCAUCAUGUGGAAGGGGAAGUGUGCAUAGAUCUUCACAGGAGAACCCACCCAGAAAGAGGUGCCGUGUGAUUAAACCCAGCAAGAAAUUUGAUUUGUGAAAAACCUUUGAAAUGUGAAAUAUUACUCCUUUCUGGGGAAGUUGAGCAGGGCAUGGGCCACGGCCAAAUCCAUUUCCCAUUUACCUUUUUCCACUCUCCCACACACCCGCUGAGAGUGUGGAAUUGCCUGGAUCAACCCAUCACAGCCCCAGGGACACAAAAUUGGAGGAGGGAAGAGGAGGAGAGGCAGGGGGAAAGAACAACUCAAUUGCAUUGAGUCAUCAGAAAAGGGAGAUUGUUUGGUCCCGGUCACUUCAUGUGAAAGUUGACUUCGGCAAUAAAUAAACAUUUCAGAUAGGUUUCACAGUUUGGUUGUGGAUAGGUAUUAUUUGGUCUGAGAAAUUUUAAAACAUGACUACCAAAUUUAUUGUGUGUGUUUAUUGAAAAUUUUUUACUGUUAACUGCUAUAACAUAACCAAACUAUUUAUUGUUU